rnacentral:rRNA from 1 species
GACGAACGCUGGCGGCGUGCCUAAUACAUGCAAGUUGAGCGCUGAAGGUUGGUACUUGUACCGACUGGAUGAGCAGCGAACGGGUGAGUAACGCGUGGGGAAUCUGCCUUUGAGCGGGGGACAACAUUUGUAAACGAAUGCUAAUACCGCAUAAAAACUUUAAACACAAGUUUUAAGUUUGAAAGAUGCAAUUGCAUCACUCAAAGAUGAUCCCGCGUUGUAUUAGCUAGUUGGUGAGGUAAAGGCUCACCAAGGCGAUGAUACAUAGCCGACCUGAGAGGGUGAUCGGCCACAUUGGGACUGAGACACGGCCCAAACUCCUACGGGAGGCAGCAGUAGGGAAUCUUCGGCAAUGGACGAAAGUCUGACCGAGCAACGCCGCGUGAGUGAAGAAGGUUGUCGGAUCGUAAAACUCUGUUGGUAGAGAAGAACGUUGGUGAGAGUGGAAAGCUCAUCAAGUGACGGUAACUACCCAGAAAGGGACGGCUAACUACGUG